rnacentral:rRNA from 1 species
GGCCUGCCCACUGAUUGAAAUUAAAGGGCCGCGGUAUCCUGACCGUGCGAAGGUAGCAUAAUCAUUAGUCUUUUAAUUGAAGGCUUGUAUGAAUGGUCGGACAAAAAAUAAUCUGUCUCAGCUGCAGAAUUUGAAAUUAACCUUUGAGUGAAAAGGCUCAAAUAAACUAAAGGGACGAUAAGACCCUAUAAAGCUUUACAAACACUUAGCUGGAUUUUGAAAUGUUAGUAUAAAUUUAAUUCAGUUAAAGAUUGUUCCGUUGGGGCGACGAAAAUAUAAAUUUAAGUAACUGUUUUGAAAAUAAAUUACAGAUAUAUCUGAAAAUAAAUGAUCCUUUAAUAAAGAUUAAGAGAUCAAGUUACUUUAGGGAUAACAGCGUAAUCUUUUUUGAGAGUCCAUAUCGACAAAAAGGGUUGCGACCUCGAUGUUGAAUUAAGGUAUCCUCAGGGUGCAGAAGCUUAAGAG